rnacentral:misc_RNA from 1 species
UGCCUUCCGCCAGAUAAGAAAUGAAAAACGUGACACACUUUUGGAUGUGAAGGCCAUUGAAUGUUUAGCAUGGUGUGAGGUAGAUAUUAAUGUUCACCAAUUCUUUACUGGAUACUUGGACGGUCGGUUUGACACAAAGAUGUGGCCUCAGAUACUGAAAUUGAAAGACUGGCCUCCAUCUACUAUGUUUGAUGAACUUAUGCCACGACAUGGUGCUGAAUUUACAUUUUGUUUGCCCUUUAAGGAGUACACACAUCCUCAUAAAGGACCUUUGAACCUUGCUGUCCGAUUACCUAAGAAGUCUUUAAAGCCAGAUAUGGGGCCAAAGACAUAUAUUGCUUAUGGUUGUGCUCAAGAGCUUGGACGUGGAGAUUCUGUUACCAAGCUUCAUUGUGACAUGUCUGAUGCAGUGAAUGUUUUAACACAUACAGCUGAAGUGACCCUUGGUCGUACACAACUUGCUACUAUAGAACAAUUGAAAAAAUUACACAGAGAGCAAGACCAAAGAGAAAUUUUUGGAAACAAUCAGGUUGUAGAGGAGGAUAUUGAUGGCAAAAUGCACGGUAGUUUUUGUGGCAGGUUUNNNNNNNNNNNNNCUGAUAAGGAAACUGGGGAAGUUGACAACCAAACUGAGGAUUCUCAGUUUACUGAUUGUGCCUUUUCAAGUAAAUCAGAGUUGAAAAUUAGCAAGCAGGCAGAAGUAUUUCAAGAUAAAUUAGAGCUGAAAUGUUGCGAGGCAGAUGCUGUUCAAGGUAGAGGCACUGAGAAUAGUGGGCCAUCAAGUUCUGGAAAUGUGUCAUUGCGGUCAGAUGAGGGAGGUGCUGUUUGGGACAUUUUCCGA